UCCACUCCUGGAGCUCAUUAGGGGCCUGCUGUUCUGCUGAGAACCACACCACAUGCUCUGCCCCGCGCUGGCGGCGGAUUAGCCUGUUGCUGCUCCUUAAAUUACCAGGAUCUCAGAGCAGUACCAUGAGAUGUACCAGCCACUCUAGAGUACAUACAGAGAUGAUCAAGGAGCCAGUGGAAGGAAGAUGCUCUGCUGGACUUUAUCUUUUGCAAUAAAGAAGCGUGCAUGGAUGAUCAAGGAGGUGCUGGAGCUUACAAGCUAGAUGUACGGAAGAGCUGGAAGAAAGGAGAGGUGAUUUGUAAGGGAUAUACAGAAAUGGUCUAAAACACAGAUAUGAGGUUUGGAAAAUGUGGAGCUGGAUCUGGCAAGGGAUAGAAACAAAAAAGGCUUCGCAGGUACAUUGCAAUAAAAAGAAGAUUGGGGAAAAUUUGGGUUUGCUGCCAAAAGGACUGGGGGACCUGGUGACAAAAAGACAUUGAGAAGACUUAAGUUACUCAGUACCUGUUUUGUCUUGGCUUUUAUACUGGUAAGACUAGUCUUGAAAUGAGAUAAUGCAGUAAUGUGCAUUAAGAAAUAGCACAAAAGCAUGCACAAAUAAUUGCAUUAUUGAGCAUUGUUCAUCUAAAAAGAGUUUUAAAGCACAGCAGUCAGUCCCAUCAAGGGACCAGUGUUCCAGGGAAGUAGGGACAAGUUUUAUUUCAAAACACAGUUUCCACAAUGAUAUGUGCAAAGUGGAACAUUUUAAGCACAAAUAUCUAUAAACAACCAUUUGUGCAUACAUUUGUGAUGUUUCCACAUAGCACUGUAUACCUGCUUUGUGUGGAUGUCAUGACUUGGAACCAAGAGUGCUGGUGAAGCAACUUCUUGAAUGACAGCUCCAUGAAAAAUAGCUCCUUGGUAUGUGUGCUUAGUUAAAAGUCUCAGGGAAAGAAGCAACUGGGCUGUGAUUGCUGUGGGCAUGGUUACAGCAGAAAUCUGCCAGCCAAAGUCACUCUGUAAAUGCAGUUCUGAACCUUAACUUAUUGUUACAGGUCCAGCCAACAAUCGGGUAAUUACAUGGUUGCAGCUGGUAAAGCUGACUGACAUUUAUUUGACUACAGAACAAAAAUGUGUGAAGCUGGUCUAACUACACAGCCCCCUGAGGACGUCUUUAAACAAAAUUCACAAGGAUAAAUACUAAGAAAUAAAACUUGAAAGAAUGUAUAAAGCCCAUCUGAUAUACUCUGGCCACUGGAAUUUAAUGGGAUUUUUUCCAAAACCUAAAUGGGUGAAAAUUGCAUGCCUAUGUUUUGGAAGUUUUUCUAACUGAAAUACAUGCUCUAGACUUGUUUACUCUUGAUAACACCUUUGCUUUCUCUCCUGCAAGCUGGGAAUUGCAUCAACAAAAUAUGCUGCAGCUGAAAA